UGAGGAAUAUUGGUCAAUGGGCGAGAGCCUGAACCAGCCAAGUAGCGUGCAGGAAGACGGCCCUAUGGGUUGUAAACUGCUUUUAUGCGGGGAUAAAGUGAUGGACGUGUCCGUCAUUGCAGGUACCGCAUGAAUAAGGACCGGCUAAUUCCGUGCCAGCAGCCGCGGUAAUACGGAAGGUCCGGGCGUUAUCCGGAUUUAUUGGGUUUAAAGGGAGCGUAGGCCGUGGAUUAAGCGUGUUGUGAAAUGCAGGUGCUCAACGUCUGCACUGCAGCGCGAACUGGUCCACUUGAGUGUGCGCAACGCAGGCGGAAUUCGUCGUGUAGCGGUGAAAUGCUUAGAUAUGACGAAGAACUCCGAUUGCGAAGGCAGCCUGCGGGAGCACAACUGACGCUGAAGCUCGAAAGUGCGGGUAUCGAACAGG
rnacentral:rRNA from 1 species